AGUGACGGAAGGCUGCUGGGUGUAGUCAAGUACUUGACUUGUCGGUGCGUGUGUCAAGAUGGGAUUGACCACUCUAGUUCAGGAGCUGUGUACAGUCAUGUUUCAAUUUAGCAAAACCUUGGCCAGGAUAGUCCUUGUGAGGAGUCACAGGACUGUUUGAGUUGAGCACGAUUCGGAUGAUCUGAUCAGGGUUGACAGUUUAACCCUGAGUCAUCCUAA
rnacentral:lncRNA from 1 species